rnacentral:lncRNA from 1 species
AAACAAGUAUUGCUUGAAAUUUUGGAGAAUGACUUAUUUGAAAAGUGUCAUAGCAUUUUGGGCUAUACCAUAAUUUCAGAAAGUUUUGGGAUUAACAAAGCAUUUCUUAAAAAUUCUGAAAUUGGACCUAUGUGCAACGUUUCAUAACAUUUUGGGCCGUAAUACAGUUUUAUAAAAUUUUAGGGACAAACUAUAAAUUUGGAAAAUAAUUUCACUGUAGCAAUCACUGCAGCAAACGGCUAACCGUUUAUUUAAAAACGGCUAACCGAUAAUUUUCAGAAAGCAUGGUCUACAAAGUAUUGUUAAAAUGAUGAUUCUGGAAACUAACGGUGAACCGUUUACCGAAAAUGGUUAACCGAUUAUUUUCAGACUGCUAACCUUGAACCGUUUAGUAAGAACGGUUAAACCAAAUUUGUUUUGCAGGUCUCUGGAAAUUAACGGCGAAAGGGUAAGCCUAAACAGCUAACCGUUUAAUUAAAAAUUGGCCAAACGGUAACUUUGACCGGCCUAAACGGUUAACCGUUAAUGGUUAACGGCGAACCGUUUUGGAGCAGACAGUCUAUAACGGCUAGUUUUUCAGCUCCAACUAUAAAUAAGCUCAAUCCAAUUCAAACAAGAAGAAUUCCAACGAUCAUCAUUGAGCAAAAUAUUGAGAAUACAACUUUCAUUGAGCUUUAAAUCUUUGUAUUCAUCUCAUUCAUUCACACAUUGAGCUUUCACUUGUGAUCAAACACAUUGUGUGAGAGAGAUUCAUUUGUAAUCUUUUUUGUAAAAUCAAGUUAAAAGAUUGUAAGUGUUGGGAUACACUUGGGUUAAGAGAUUGGGGAUAAUCUCUUGUUGUAAAGGUCCAUUGACACCUUGGAAGUCAAUUGUAAGCGUUUGAAGCCUUGGGAGGCUAGCUUAGUGAAAUCCUCAAGCCCGGUGAGCUUGGAGGCGUGGACGUAGGCGGGGAUUGCCGAACCACGUAAAAAUCAUUGUGUUUGUUUUCUCUUCCCUUACUCUUUUAAUAUUGUGCACGAUUGAAUUUAUUGUUUUCAAUUUGAUUAAGGCAAUAGAUUAAAUUGUUGUGUGGUUUGCCUAGGAUAAUUUUUAAAAUCACAAUUCACCCCCCUCUUGGGUUGCCUAGUUAGUAUUUCAUUUGGUAUCAGAGCGAGGUGCUCUUUUGUAGACUUAACCGUCUAGAGUUAAAGAUCUAUAGCAACCCAAAUUAGCUCAAUUUUCAUGGAAGGCCAAUCCACCACUAGACCUCCAUUCUUUGAUGGUAAUGACUAUCCUUAUUGGAAAACUAGGAUGAGAGUGUUUUUACAAGCCUUAGAUUAUGAACUAUGGGAAAUAGUUUGUGAUGGUUCAUUCAGUCCUAGGAAGAAUGUUUUAAGUGAAUUGGAUAAGAAAAAUAUGACUUUAAAUUCCAAGGCUAUGAAUGCUUUAUUUUGUGCCUUAGAUAAAAAUGAAUUUCAUAAAGUUUCAAAUUGUUCUAAUGCUUGUGAAAUUUGGAGAAAACUUGAAAUUGUGUAUGAGGAGACUACAAACGAGGAGGAAUUUCAUGAAGUGUCGAAUUUUGCACUUAUGGCAAUUGGAGAUGAAUCGGAUGAUGAACUUGAUGAGGUAAGUGAUCCAACCUAUGAUGAAUUGUAUGAUGCUUUUAAAGAAAUGCAUGAUGAGUUGAUGAAAAUUGGUAAAAAGAAUGCAUGCCUUAAAAAGAAAUUGCUAGAAUCUACAAAUGAAAAGGAUGCCAUGCAAAAAUGCAAUGAGUCAUUGAAUGAGAAGAUUAAAGGAUUAGAAUUAGAGAAUAAAACCUUGCAUAAUAGAGUUGCAUUAUCAAAUGAGAAACUUAGCACUUCACAUGAGCAUCUAGAAUCAUAUGUAGAUGACUUGAAAAAUGAAAAUGAUGCUUUACAGAAAUACAAUGAUUCAUUAAAUGAAAAGAUUAAAGGACUAGAGUUGGAUAAUAAAAUGUUGCAUGAUAGAAUUGCAUCAUUUAAAUGCAAGCAAAGAACUUCAUAUGAGCAUGAAAAAUCACAUGUUGGUGAAUUAAUGAAAGAAAAUGAAGUACUUAAGAAAAAGAGCAAUGAACUAAAUCAAAUUGUGUUAAAGUUCACAAAUGGGCAAAAGAUGUUAGAUAACUUGCUUAAUUCACAAAAAUGUGUGUUUGAUAAAGGAGGUAUCGGUUAUAAGCUAAAUUUGAAACAAAAAUAUUAUAAGAGUUAUUUUGUUAAAACUACCUCCAUUAAUGAUCAAAUUGUAUGUCAUUAUUGCAAUCAAAAUAGUCAUAUGAAGAAUAAAUGUCCAAUUAAAAGAAAUGUGUAUUAUGGAGCAAAAGCUUCAUCAAGGAACUCUUCAUCAUUCCUUGAUUGUGGUACCUACAAAGAAAACAUUCACAUUGUGCCCUUUGGUACCCAAAUACUCUUGGGUCCUUGAGUGUUAGCAAUGAUUCCUUUUGGAACCCAAAUACAUUUUGCUCCAUAAUACACAUUUCUUUUAAUUGGACAUUUAUUCUUCAUAUGACUAUUUUGAUUGCAAUAAUGACAUACAAUUUGAUCAUUAAUGGAGGUAGUUUUAAUCUUAGUAAAUAUUUAACAUUUCAUUUCGUAUCAUAACAUUAAGUGCAUUAACAUGAUGUGGAUAAGUUUAACAUGAUGUGGAUAAAGUUUAACAUGAUAUGGAUAAGUUUAUCUUAGCUAUUUACUAUAUUGAGUGAAUCAUGAUAAAUGAAUUUGCGAAAGUAUGCUUGUAUGUUUACAUGAUGGAAUUAUCAUUGUAUUUAACAUUGAAUGUUUUAUCAUGAUGUAUGGCUAUAUAUAUAUAUAUGAUGAUAGCUUGUCAACUCAUCAUGAUGGAUUUAUUUUUAUGAUUAUGUAAUGCCUAAGCAUGAUAAAUAAGUGAUAUGCUUUAAUUCUCAAUCUUCGAAUACUUACAUAUUUCAUGAUUGUGUGAUGUAUAUGCAUGAUAGAUGAGUUAUAUGUUAUUUCUUGCAUUAGAAGUGAUCAUGGUGGAUAAUUAGAAAAUCAUGCAUUUGAGAUUUUUUUGUAAUGAUUUUGCCAUUGAAUAUAAAUUUUCAUCACCUAUAACUCCACAUCAAAAUGGAGUUGUAGAGAGAAAGGAUAGGUCUAUUCAAAAAAUGGUUAAGACCACAUUGAUUAGACAUCAUCUCAAUAAUACUCUCUAUGAGCUUUGGAAAUGAUCAUGGUGGAUAAUUAGAAAAUCAUGCAUUUGAGAUUUUUUUGUAAUGAUUUUGCCAUUGAAUAUAAAUUUUCAUCACCUAUAACUCCACAUCAAAAUGGAGUUGUAGAGAGAAAGGAUAGGUCUAUUCAAAAAAUGGUUAAGACCACAUUGAUUAGACAUCAUCUCAAUAAUACUCUCUAUGAGCUUUGGAAAUAUAGAAAACCCAACAUUAGUUAUUGCAAAGUUUUUGGAUGCAAAUGUUAUAUUUUGAACACAAAAGAUAAUCUUGGCAAAUUUGAUCCAAAAUUUGAUGUUGGUAUUUUUCUUGGCUAUUCAAACACAAGCAAAACUUAUGGAGUGUAUAACAAAAGAACUUUGAUUGUGGAAGAAUUUAUACAUGUUAUAUUUGAUGAGUCUAAUUCUUCAUCUACGGAGAAAGUUGUUGUUGAUGAUAAUGUAGAUGAAAAGCUACAAGAAGAUUAUCAAAUGAUAGCUAAAAGAACACACCACUUGAAAAUCAAGAGGAGCAACACGAAGAAAUAAAUGCGGAGUAAAAUGAAGGUACUUUCUCAUACAUUCCCAAAGAGUAGAUGUAUGUUUCUUCUCACCUUAAGAACUUAAUUUUGAAAGAUCCAUCACAAGGUGUAACUACUAUAUCAUCACUUAAAAAUAUAUGUGAGCAUUUGUAAUAACGGAUUUGAUCACUUGUUCUUUAACUCAUAAUUAUGGCUUUUCUUAAUAGUUAUGUUGAUUUUGAUGAUUUAUAUAUUGCCAUUACGUACUUAUGUUUUUACUUAAGUUUUGAUGAUAAAGAAUGUGCAUUGAUGAUUACAUUGUAUUUAAUGAAGCUUUGAUCUUAUGCAAUCUAUGAUUAGUGAAUGAAUGCAUUUUUUGUACUUUAUCGAUGUAUUGUUGAAUAUGUCUUACUUAUUUUAAAUGAUAUCGAAAAAGGGAGAAAUACAUAUACUUCGAGAAUUUUAAGUAUAUGAGAUUUUUUUUAUAUUGAAUGUCACAUUAGAUAUUUGAUGAGUUUAGUUGUCUUUAUUUAUAAAAUGUGAUUGAUAAUUAUGGAGUUUGAAUAUUUGAUAAUAUGCAUGCCAAUUUGGUAAAGAAAUCAAAACCUCUUUGCGAAGAAGAAUUUUCAAAAAUUCGGCAUAAACUUGGAAUGAUUUGAUUUCUUGAUGAUUUUGGUAAUUGAUGAUUAUAUGUGCGUUGCUUGAUGAAUUGAAGGAGUUGUUAGUUGGUUAUUAUUGUUUAAGCUUAUAUGGAAGUGUUUUUAACCAUGUUGUGUAUUUGAGAAUUUGUUCAUUUUUAAGGGGGAGACAAAUAUAAUAUGUUUUUGGAUAAAAUCAUUUCGGUUAAAUUUUUAAAUUGGCCAUAUAUUUAGGGGGAGCAUAUAAUAUGAUUUUGGAUAAUAUGCAUUUUGAAUUUUUUUUUUUGUUGUCCAAAGGGGGAAACAAAAUAAUAUAUCAUUUCGAUGUUAUCAAAAGGAAGAGAAUAAUAUGUAUUUUGAGUAAUUGUUUUGAUUAUGGUGAUGAUUUGAUGUUUUUGAGAUAUGAUGAUUACAUGGGUGUUUUAUAUGAUAAUUUCAUGUUAUGAGUUGUUGACUUGGUAAUUGAUAGAAUAAUGGUUCAUGAUAUUUUUGUGUGAUGAUUUGUGUAUGGAGUUGGCAUGUAUCAUGAUUUAUAAUAUUUUGGGAGUAAUAUUACUAAACUUGUAUUUGAGGUAAUGCUUGUUGAUAGGGGGAGAAUGUGUCAAAAUUUCUACUCGGCUACAUGGGUAACAAAUUUGCCACUCAUUUUCUUUUCCACUAAGUUUUCUUUUUGAUGAUGAGGGGGAGAAGAAUGCAUGUAAUUAAAUUUGUUAAUUUAGCUAAAUUGUAAGAGAAUAUUAAAUAAUUGUAAGAAUGCAUGUAUUUACAUUUAGGGGGAGCAAUUUGUGCAAUCUUUUUUUUAAAUACAUGAAACGUUUGUCAUCAUCAAAAAGGGGGAGAUUGUUAACAUAUAUGUUUUCAUAAUGUUGAUUUUGAUGAUAACAAACAAGAUUAAGAAUGAUUAAUCUUUUAAGCCCAAAUUAUUUAAUAUUCUUUUUAAAUAAAUUAUUAUUUUUACAUUAUAAAGGUUUUAUCUUUAAUGGAAAAAUGAUUUUAUGAAAUUGGUUGUUUUUCAAAGUUUAUGGUUUAAUUGAAAGAAUUUUGAAAACUUUGAAAUAAACAAGUAUUGCUUGAAAUUUUGGAGAAUGACUUAUUUGAAAAGUGUCAUAGCAUUUUGGGCUAUACCAUAAUUUCAGAAAGUUUUGGGAUUAACAAAGCAUUUCUUAAAAAUUUUGAAAUUGGACCUAUGUGCAACGUUUCAUAACAUUUUGGGUCGUAAUACAGUUUUAUAAAGUUUUGGGGUCAAACUGUAAAUUUGGAAAAUAAUUUCACUGUAGCAAUCACUGGAGCAAACGACUAACCGUUUAUUUAAAAACGGCUAACCAAUAAUUUCCAGAAAGCAUGUUCUACAAAGUAUUGUUAAAAUGAUGAUUCUGGAAACUAACGGUGAACCGUUUACUGAAAACGGUUAACUGAUUAUUUCCAGACUGCUAACCUUGAACCGUUUAGUAAGAACGGUUAAACCAAAUUUGUUUUGCAGGUCUCUGGAAAUUAACGGCGAAAGGGUAAGCCUAAACAGCUAACCGUUUAAUUAAAAAUUGGCCCAACGGUAACUUUGACCGGCCUAAACGGUUAACCGUUAAUGGUUAACGGCGAACCGUUUUCGAGCAAACAGUCUAUAACGGCUAGUUUUUCAGCUCCAACUAUAAAUAAGCUCAAUCCAAUUCAAACAAGAAGAAUUCCAACGAUCAUCAUUGAGCAAAAUAUUGAGAAUACAACUUUCAUUGAGCUUUAAAUCUUUGUAUUCAUCUCAUUCAUUCACACAUUGAGCUUUCACUUGUGAUCAAACACAUUGUGUGAGAGAGAUUCAUUUGUAAUCUUUUUUGUAAAAUCAAGUUAAAAGAUUGUAAGUAUUGGGAUACACUUGGGUUAAGAGAUUGGGGAUAAUCUUUUGUUGUAAAGGUCCAUUGACACCUUGGAAGUCAAUUGUAAGCGUUUGAAGUCUUGGGAGGCUAGCUUAGUGAAAUCCUCAAGCCCGGUGAGCUUGGAGGCGUGGACGUAGGCGGGGAUUGCCGAACCACGUAAAAAUCAUUGUGUUUGUUUUCUCUUCCCUUACUCUUUUAAUAUUGUGCACGAUUGAAUUUAUUGUUUUCAAUUUGAUUAAGGCAAUAGAUUAAAUUGUUGUGUGGUUUGCCUAGGAUAAUUUUUAAAAUCCCAAUUCACCCCCCUCUUGGGUUGCCUAGUUAGUAUUUCAUUUUUUGUAUAUAAAUAUGAAAAAUAUUUCAUUCACAAAUGAAACAUAUCUCCAUUAAGUAUUAACUAAGUUAUGAUUUCAUAAAUGAAAUAUCAAUGUCGUAAAAUUUUUUAUUUAUCAUUUAUAAAAUCAUGAU